ensembl:snoRNA
CAUGCCCCAGUCGUGUUGCAGAUAUGGCUGCAGUGCCAUGUUUGUGUCAUUAGGUGGCAGAAAGGAAAAGGCUGUGUCUGCUAAUGCUCUGAAACCCGUGAGCACUCAGGAAUGACUAGCGACCUGACAAA